UUUACUUUUUAAAAAAUGUUUUUAUUGUUAAAUGAAAACAUAUUAUAAUAAUUGCAUAAAAACAUAAGUAUGCUGUUUAAUGAAUUACUAUAAUAGGAACACUGUAUAAUCACCAAUCAAGGUCAAGAAGUAGAAUAUUGGUAGGGCUCAGAAGCACCCCUACCUCCAUGCCCAUCCCCAUCCACAGCUUCCUCUCUUCUUAAGUGUAGUCCCUUCCUGACAUUUAUGGGUAAUACGUAGUCACAUUUUUGUUCUGUUUAUUCUCUAUUUUUUAUUUUUAUUUUUAUUUUAGAGACAGGGUCUCAAUCUGCCACCCAGCCUGGAGUGCACUGGCACCAUCAUAGCUCACUGCUGAUUCAAACUCCUAGGCUCAAGCAACUCUCCAUCUCAGCCUCCCAAGUAGCUGGGAUUACAGGGAGCUCCCAUGUUCAUGGAAGUGACAAAGAAUUUCAGUCCAGUGUGAUAAGAGGUGUGAUAGAGAUAAGUACCAUGUGCUCCACACCAGAGAGAAGGUGUUCCUAACUCAAGCUUGGGGAUGGGGCAAUGAUCGGAUUCCUGGAGGAGGUGCUACUGAGUUGUGUCUUGAAGCAUGAAUAAGAUAUGGCAGACUAAUAAAGAAAGAUAUGGCAGCCUUAGAGCCUUAGAUGGCACAUGGUCCCUGGAGACCUGCUGAAGAGACCAUAUGAUGGAAUCCUGAGAGUUCUCAGAAGCACCUGUUUAACCUCACUUCCAGUUUCCUGCCAUUAUCCAGAAAAGGAAGACCACUAAUUAAGAGGUAAAUGGCAGUUUUAUAUUUUCAUGGUUAAAUAACACAGACUUUUAGUGCUUAAAGGAACUAGUGUUAUACCCUUCAUUAUGAACACAAGAAAAUGAGUUCUAGAAUAAGUGUCCAUAGCUUCAGUGCCACAUAUUAAUAGGGAGUCAGAAAGCCUCCUCAGAUAACAUGUGAAAGAAGUGUGCCCAAACACUACAGAAGACUGGAGAACAGGACUGUCUUGUAACAUGACAGAAAGCAUGUCAAUUUGGGAGGCAGAAGGACUGCAAUUCAAAUGGCUCUAUACCUAUUAGCUGGCUCUACCCCUAAAUGGCUGGAUUAUCGGAGGCAAAUUGGUUAACUUAUCAGGUUCUCAGUUUCUACAUUUGAAAAAUGAGGAUAGUGACAACUAAUUUUCAGUUGUUGGAGAAUUAGAAAUAAUAUAUGAAUAAUGUAUAUUGUAGAUCCAAACACUAAUCACAGCUGAGUUGUGUAGUAAAUGCUGAUUAAUUUUAAAUAGUAUUCCUAAGUAUAAAAAUAACAUACAUGUAAUAUAUAAUAUAGAUAAAAGCUAUAUUUAUAUAUAGAUAAAAGUUUAUUUAUAUUUUGAUAUAUAUAAGCUUUUUUAUAUAUUUUAAUUUUAAUGUAAUUGAUCAGUAUUCUCCUUUAAGUAAUAUACACAU